rnacentral:rRNA from 1 species
GUGAUGGUCACUGCGAAUGUUAAUGCUAUGUGACUUCUACCCAGUGCUCCGAAUGUCAAAGUGAAGAAAUUCAACCAAGCGUAGGUAAACUCGGGAGUAACUAUGACUCUCUUAAGGCAGCCAAAUGCCUCAUCAUCUAAUUAGUGACGCACAUGAAUGGAUUAACGAGAGUCCCACUGUCCCUGUAUACUAUCCAAUGAAACCACAACCAAGGGAAUGAGCUUGGCAGAAUCAGCGGGGAAAGAAGACCCUGUUGAGCUUGCCUCUAGGCCGACUUUGUGAAAUGACUUGAGAGCUGUAGCAUAAGUGGGAGCUUCGGCGUAAGUGCAAUAGCACUCCUUUUAACGUUAUUUUACUUACUCCGUGAGCUGGAGGUGAGGCAUCAUCCCUUUUUUUGGACCUAAGGCUUGCCUCGCAGGCUGAUCGGGGUAGAGGACAUUGUCAGCUGGGGAGUUUGGCUGGGGCGGCACAUCUGUUAAAAGAUAACGCAGGUCUCCUAAGAUGAGCUCAAUGAGAACAAAAAUCUCAUAUGGAAUAGAAGGGUAAAAGCUCGUUUGAUUUUGAUUUUUAGUGCAAAUACGAACCAUGAAAGCAUGGUCUAACGAUCCUUUAGACCUUUGGAAUUUGAAGCUAGAGGUAAGAAAAGUUGCCACAGGGAUAACCGGCUUGUGCAGCUAAGCGUUUAUAGCAGCGUUGCUUAUUGAUCCUUCGAUGUUGGUCUUGCUAUCAUUGUGAACCAGAAUUCAAACAAGUGCUGGAUUGUUCAUCCACCAAUAGGGAACAUGAGCUGGGUUUAAAUCGUCAUGAGAUAGGUUAGUUUUACCCUGCCGAUGACAGUGUCGCGAUGGUUAUUCAACCUAGUAUGAGAGGAACCAUUGAUUCACAUAAUUAGUCGUCGCACCUGGUUGAAAAGCCAGUGGUGCGAAGCUACCGUGCGCUAGAUUAUGAUUGAAUGCCUCUAAGUUAGAAUCUAGGCCAGAAGUGACGCAUGCACCCGCCGCCCGAUUGCCGACCUACAAUAGGGGCCUCGGCCCCCAAGGGUGAGUGUCGUAAGCUAAGCCGGUGCGGUGGAUGCUCUACGAGGCUGCCUUGAAGUACAGUUCUUACUGAGUAGCGGGUUGAAUCCUUUGCACAUGGUUUAAAUACGCAACGGAGUUUUGUAAGUGGCAUAGUGGCCUUGCUGCCAUGAUCCACUAAAAUUCAGUCGUAUGUCGCUUCGAUUCCUUCCUCGCCCUCC